UGGCUCUCGCAUCGAUGAAGAACGCAGCGAAAUGCGAUAAGUAAUGUGAAUUGCAGAAUUCAGUGAAUCAUCGAAUCUUUGAACGCACCUUGCGCUCCUUGGUAUUCCGAGGAGCAUGCCUGUUUGAGUGUCUUGAAGUCAUCAACCCGAACCGUUUCGUCGCGGCUCGGAGUUGGAGCUGGGGCGUGCUGCCGCAAGGCUGCUCCCCUCAAAUGAGUCGGCUGGACCCGUGGGUCAAGAUCGAAAGGGCGUUGUACCAUCCUCGCUCGCUCGUAGACCCUUUCAAUGGGACCUCCCUCGACCUGCCUCUUCAAGGGUGGCGGUCACAUUUUUUGAAAUCUGACCUCAAAUCAGGUAGGACUACCCGCUGA
rnacentral:misc_RNA from 1 species